UAAAAGUAAAAAUCUGUUUAUUUUUCAUGUUUUCUUUUGUUUGUUUUGUUUCUGCUUUAAGUUCAGAUUAUUUAAAGGAGGAAACUGAAGGAUGAAUUCAGCUUAUUAACAGUUAAUGAACUGAUGGAAGCAGAAUGUUUUGGGCCUCCAGGGCUUCCGUACACAGAGCUCACCUGCAGACUCAGACCAGCUGAUUGGAAAAUGAAGAACAGGUGUGAUCAUCUAUCUAUCUAUCUAUCUAUCUAUCUAUCUAUCUAUCUAUCUAUCUAUCUAUCUAUCUAUCUAUCUUCAUCAUCUCUUCAUCAUCCUCGGGCCGUGGCCUCCCCUCCAUCCUCCUCCUCCUCCUCACCCUUCAUCCCUCUCUCUUCCUCUUCCUCCCCCCAGCCACCCCGUUCCUGUCAGAGCUGAUAGUUUCCACGCCAGCGGAGCGCCGCGGGCCUCCGCUCUGUCACACCACAUCAGGCAGAGGAAGAGGAGGAGAAGGAGAAGGAGGAAGAGGGCGCGUGGUGUCUGCGUUCAAACUGCAGCAGCGGAACCCAAACUUUCUUAUGUGGAGUCGGUCCGGUCCAGUCCGGCUCGGUUCGGAGGAGCAGAGUGGCUGUGCGCCGCGGGAGAAAGGGCGCCAAACAUGAUGAGUGUUCAGUGACGAAAACAGAGGAUGAAGAGGAGGAGGAUGAUAGUUUUGAAGUUUUCCCCAGGAAUCUUUUUGGGACCUCGGUGAUGACGUCACCAGUCUGGACUGGAGUCUUUGUACUGAACCGGUUCUGGUUCUGUUCAGUUUGAUCUCCAAACAUCAACAUGAUCUGGUAAAAACACAUUUAUAUUAAAUUUAAGGAUUUAAAUCUUCACACUCAUGAACUUUCAUGUAAAUAUUGACAGGAUUCAUUGGAACUUUUUUUAUUUUUUAAAGGUUUUGUUGGCUCUAGUGGCCUUUAUUUGAAAGUAGUUUGACAGGAAACAGGGAAGACAUGCGGCAAACGUCGCCAGGCCGGGAAUCGAACCUACGACCACCGCUACAAGGAGUAAGGCCUCAACGUGGGUCAUGCUUUGCCCCUGCGCCGCCACAGCGCCCCGUUCAUUGGAACUUUAAUUGGGUCAAAUCUCUGAAACUUUUUAUUUAAAACUAAGAACGGUCUCUUUUGUCCUGAAAAAAAUAAAUCAAUCUCUCAAAAUAAUUAUUUUGAACAGAGAAAUCUGAAAUUCUCAUAACGUCCUCCUUUUCCCAGCAUGCACUGGGCCGUUUCCGUUCGUCCCGAUGCGGGGCCUGCAUUGUGGCCCCUGCUCGCUGCCGCCCUCUGCUGUUACUUCCUGCACACAGCAGGGUGUACCUGCGGCCUCCCAUCCUGAGGUAAAUGUCGCCCCCUGGUGGAGGAGACCAGAGACUGCUCAGACUGAGGAAGAGGAGGGUCCUGAGGAUUUAUUCUGCUGUUUAAACCUAAAAACAUAUUCAGCAGUGUUAAGACGUUUCCUGUUGAAGUGCCUUUGAGCAGCCGACGGCUGCUGGUUAAAUUGGGGUUUGGUGGGAAACCAGAGUUUCUCUGCGCUUCUUUAAAGACUUCCAGCUGCUGUGACGCCCAGUUUGUUCCUGAGGUUCCAGGUUUUCAAUAUAAAAACUCUCAGUCUGAAAAUAAUCGACGUUUUCUUCCAUAUUCUGAUUUAUUUGGAGGUUGAUUCUGAAAUCCCUCCACCCCACCGGUCUGCUCCUUCUUUUGGGAGCUGCUGCUGGUUUCCGUCUCGGUUUCGUGGUAAACAUGUUUUCUGCUCGGCCUGGAUCCAGAACCAUCAGCCGGAGAACAACGGCUCUGAUAAGCUUCUGAAAUGGCCGGGGGAGGAGCAGGGAUUAUCCCGAACUGGCCCCGGGGCCCUGGCUCCUGCACUCAGACAGAUCGGACCUCCAGGGCGCUUCAAGGGCCCGGCGACCCCCUCAGGAUGGAGAUUACAGGGCGGCGCUGCGGCUUGUAUCUGGGAGCGCCGCGGCCUCACAUGGAAUCACAAGGACAAACAAGCGGCCGUGUGACGAUCAGACACACAACACCGCUGUUCAGGCCACACAGAGCCCAUUGUUAGAGGAGAGGCUGCUGCAGGAAGCAGAGGUAAAAAUAGCAUCAGCCAUGUUUGUUCUGUUCAGCCCAGAUCAGAUAAAAACUCCCAAACACACAAAGUUCAGAUAAUUUCUUUAAUCUGGGAUAAUAAGUCAGAUACAAACACAAAAUGUUCAGGAAUAAAGACAGAACGGUUGGUUCAGAGUCAA